CGCUGACCGCGUGCCUAAUCUUGCAAGUCGAGCCGGACAGAUGGGAGCUUGCUCCCUGAUGUUAGCGGCGGACGGGUGAGUAACACGUGGGUAACCUGCCUGUAAGACUGGGAUAACUCCGGGAAACCGGGGCUAAUACCGGAUGGUUGUUUGAACCGCAUGGUUCAGACAUAAAAGGUGGCUUCGGCUACCACUUACAGAUGGACCCGCGGCGCAUUAGCUAGUUGGUGAGGUAACGGCUCACCAAGGCGACGAUGCGUAGCCGACCUGAGAGGGUGAUCGGCCACACUGGGACUGAGACACGGCCCAGACUCCUACGGGAGGCAGCAGUAGGGAAUCUUCCGCAAUGGACGAAAGUCUGACGGAGCAACGCCGCGUGAGUGAUGAAGGUUUUCGGAUCGUAAAGCUCUGUUGUUAGGGAAGAACAAGUGCCGUUCAAAUAGGGCGGCACCUUGACGGUACCUAACCAGAAAGCCACGGCUAACUACGUGCCAGCAGCCGCGGUAAUACGUAGGUGGCAAGCGUUGUCCGGAAUUAUUGGGCGUAAAGGGCUCGCAGGC
rnacentral:rRNA from 1 species